GGGGGCGUAAAGGUUUCGACGGGGAUCUUGCAGUAUAAUAAGCGAGUAGAGGAUGGGCAACCUCUUAAAUAAGGCAUCCAAUUAAAAUUAAACGCUAGAAAUAGUAUUACAGUUAGCCGUAACUACGGCGAACUCCAGGCAGCGUAAGCUCCCUGACCGUUCUGUAAGAGACUACCACGACUCUUUCAGAGCGUCGAUUUAGUGGUGAACGACCGUUAUGAUGGCCUUUGCAUUUCGGCUGUACCUAAAGGCUACCGUGUUCUCCAGCGUGUUUGUCCGCGGCUGAUCACGGGAAUUUAAAAGAUAAACUACACUCGUAGAAGGUUAUAUGAAUAGUUUUUCGGACGCGGGUUCAAUUCCCGCCGCCUCCAUC
rnacentral:tmRNA from 1 species